CAGUGGCUGUAUGCACUAAUACUGACAUUCAUAAAGUGAAGGUUUUUUUGAGAUACCAUGAUCCCUGAAGGAGGAGGGAAAUGUAUUUGUUUGAAACCCUAGUGAUGACUGAAGAAUUUGAAUAGGGUACAGUGAAGAUGACUUGUCUUUGUGCCACGAUGUCUGGGGUAAUUUGAAAGCCGAGGGUGACUAAAUGGGGCUGGAAUCAUCUCUCUGAAGGCGAUCUAUUUACUUACAUGCCUGGUGCCUAGGCUGGGAUGACUUGAAAGUCUAGUAAUGCAGACUGGAGCACCUACAUGUGACCUCACAUAUAGCUUGACUUCAACGACUGUGGUGGCCUCAAGGUCAAAUUAUGUGAUUCAAUGUGGGGAGGGACCACACAGGUACAAGAAGCACUGGGGCCCAUCUUGGAGUCUGGCUACCACAUUGGCCUGUAGGAUGGAGUAACCACUGUGUGAACCACUGGAUUUUGAAGACA